UGGCUCAAUGGCAGAGUAUCUCUCUUCGGAACAGAAGGUUACGGGUUAGAGUCUCG
rnacentral:tRNA from 1 species